CCUACGGGAGGCAGCAGUGAGGAAUAUUGGUCAAUGGACGAGAGUCUGAACCAGCCAAGUAGCGUGAAGGAUGACUGCCCUAUGGGUUGUAAACUUCUUUUAUAUGGGAAUAAAAUGUUCCACGUGUGGGAUUUUGUAUGUACCAUAUGAAUAAGGAUCGGCUAACUCCGUGCCAGCAGCCGCGGUAAUAGGGAGGAUCCGAGCGUUAUCCGGAUUUAUUGGGUUUAAAGGGAGCGUAGGUUGAUUGUUAAGUCAGUUGUGAAAGUUUGCGGCUCAACCGUAAAAUUGCAGUUGAAACUGGAAGUCUUGAGGACGUUAGAGGUGGGCGGAAUGCGUGGUGUAGCGGUGAAAUGCUUAGAUAUCACGAAGAACUCCGAUUGCGAAGGCAGCUCACUGAACUGCAACUGACACUGAGGCUCGAAAGUGUGGGUAUCAAACAGGAUUAGAUACCCCUGUAGUC
rnacentral:rRNA from 1 species